rnacentral:rRNA from 1 species
AUUGAACGCUGGCGGCAGGCCUAACACAUGCAAGUCGAACGGUAACAGGAAACAGCUUGCUGUUUCGCUGACGAGUGGCGGACGGGUGAGUAAUGUCUGGGAAACUGCCUGAUGGAGGGGGAUAACUACUGGAAACGGUAGCUAAUACCGCAUAACGUCGCAAGACCAAAGAGGGGGACCUUCGGGCCUCUUGCCAUCAGAUGUGCCCAGAUGGGAUUAGCUAGUAGGUGGGGUAACGGCUCACCUAGGCGACGAUCCCUAGCUGGUCUGAGAGGAUGACCAGCCACACUGGAACUGAGACACGGUCCAGACUCCUACGGGAGGCAGCAGUGGGGAAUAUUGCACAAUGGGCGCAAGCCUGAUGCAGCCAUGCCGCGUGUAUGAAGAAGGCCUUCGGGUUGUAAAGUACUUUCAGCGGGGAGGAAGGGAGUAAAGUUAAUACCUUUGCUCAUUGGCGUUACCCGCAGAAGAAGCACCGGCUAACUCCGUGCCAGCCGCCGCCGUAA